rnacentral:rRNA from 1 species
ACGGGGUGCAGCAGGCGCGAAAACUUCACAAUGGGCGAAAGCCCGAUGAGGGAAUUCCUAGUGCUAGCACAUUUGUGUUAGCUUUUCCUUAGCGUAGAUAACUAGGGGAAUAAGGGCCUGGGUAAGACGGGUGCCAGCCGCCGCGGUAAUACCUGCAGCCCAAGUGGUGGUCGAUUUUAUUGAGUCUAAAACGUUCGUAGCCGGUUUGGUAAAUCUUUGGGUAAAUCGGGAAGCUUAACUUUCCGACUUCCGAAGAGACUGUCAAACUUGGGACCGGGAGAGGCUAGAGGUACUUCUGGGGUAAGGGUAAAAUCCUGUAAUCCUUGGAGGACCACCGGUGGCGAAGGCGUCAUACUAGAACGAAUCCGACGGUGAGGGACGAAGCCCUAGGUCGCAAACGGGAUUAGAUACCCCGGUAGUCUAGGGUGUAAACGCUGCAGACUAGGUGUUGGAGGCCCUUCGGGGGCAUUCAGUGCCGGAGAGAAGUUGUUAAGUCGGCUACUUGGGGAGUACGUCCGCAAGGAUGAAACUUAAAGGAAUUGGCGGGGGAGCAC